rnacentral:rRNA from 1 species
GACGAACGCUGGCGGCGUGCUUAACACAUGCAAGUCGAACGGAAAGGCCCUGCUUUUGUGGGGUGCACGAGUGGCGAACGGGUGAGUAACACGUGAGUAACCUGCCCUUGACUUUGGGAUAACUUCAGGAAACUGGGGCUAAUACCGGAUAGGAGCUCCUGCUGCAUGGUGGGGGUUGGAAAGUUUCGGCGGUUGGGGAUGGACUCGCGGCUUAUCAGCUUGUUGGUGGGGUAGUGGCUUACCAAGGCUUUGACGGGUAGCCGGCCUGAGAGGGUGACCGGCCACAUUGGUACUGAGAUACGGCCCAGACUCCUACGGGAGGCAGCAGUGGGGAAUAUUGCACAAUGGGCGGAAGCCUGAUGCAGCAACGCCGCGUGCGGGAUGACGGCCUUCGGGUUGUAAACCGCUUUCGCCUGUGACGAAGCGUGAGUGACGGUAAUGGGUAAAGAAGCACCGGCUAACUACGUG